GCCAACGUAGCUUAAGUAAAGCAUAACACUGAAGAUGUUAAGAUAGGCCCUAGAAAGCCUCGUAAGCA
rnacentral:tRNA from 1 species